rnacentral:rRNA from 1 species
AGUCAAGCUACUAAGGGCACAUGGGGAAUGCCUUGGCGCCAGAAGCCGAAGAAGGACGUAGCAAGACUGCGAUAAGCCACGAUUAGCUGCCUAGCAAGCUUAGUUGUGGAUUUCCGAAUGGGGGAACCCAUCUACUUCGGUAGUUACCUUGGUCGUAAGACCUUGGUGGUAAGCAGGGGAACUGAAACAUCUAAGUACCCUGAGGAAAGUAAAUCAACAGAGACUCCCUUAGUAGCGGCGAGCGGACGGGGACCAGCCUAAACCACAUGGGCCUAACGGACUGAAGUCCUAUGCCUUUGUGGCGUUGUAGGGUCAGACAGGAGGAAGCUUCAGAUUCCUCCAAGAGUUACAAAACGUGCAUCUAAUCGAAUAGUCCUGGAACGGCUAACCGUAGUGGGUGAAAGUCCCGUAGAUGAAAGAUGAUGCGUCUCUUGGUUUGAUUCCUGAGUACGGCGGGACACGUGAAAUCUUGUCGGAAUCUGGGGGGACCACCCUCCAAGGCUAAGUACUUCUGGCGACCGAUAGUGAACAAGUACCGUGAGGGAAAGGUGAAAAGCACCCCGUGAGGGGAGUGAAAUAGAACUGAAACCAUGUGCCUACAAACCGUUGGAGUUCUGAAUUUAUUCGGAAUGACAGCGUGCCUAUUGAAGAAUGAGCCAACGAGUUACGUUACGUGGCAGGUUAAGGCAUGAUGUGCCGGAGCCGAAGCGAAAGCGAGUCUGAAUAGGGCAAUUCAGUCGCGUGGCGUAGACCCGAAACCGUGUGAGCUACCCUUGGCCAGGUUGAAGCGAAAGUAAAUUUUCGUGGAGGACCGAACCCUUGUAAGUUACAAAUUGCUGGGAUGAGCUGAGGGUAGGGGUAAAAUGCCAAUCGAACACGGAGAUAGCUGGUUCUCCCCGAAAUGCAUUUAGGUGCAGCGUCAAGUUUUAAUUUGCGGAGGUAGAUCACUGGAUGGGCUAGGGGGCGUGAGCUUACCAACCCCAACCAAAAUCCGAAUACCGUAAAUAGUAUCUUGGCAGUGAGACAGUGAAGGAUAAGCUCCAUUGUCGAAAGGGAAACAGCCCAGAUCGCAAUCUAAGGUCCCGAAGUGUGUGCUAAGUGUGAAACGAAGUGGGAACGCCCAGACAGCCAGGAGGUUGGCUUAGAAG